rnacentral:misc_RNA from 1 species
AAAGUCGUAACAAGGUUUCCGUAGGUGAACCUGCGGAAGGAUCAUUACAGAGUAUCAUGCCCUCGCGGGUAGAUCUCCACCCUUGAAUAACAUACCUUUGUUGCUUUGGCAGGCCGCAUCCGUGCCGGGGGCUAACGCUCUCGAGUGCCUGCCAGAGAAUCACCAACUCUUGUUUUUGUGAUGUCUGAGUACUAUAUAAUAGUUAAAACUUUCAACAACGGAUCUCUUGGUUCUG